AGAAUCAACGCUGGCGGCGUGCCUAACACAUGCAAGUCGAUCGAGAAAGUGGAGCAAUCCAUGAGUAAAGAGGCGCACGGGUGAGUAACACGUGACUAACCUACCCUUGAGUGGGGGAUAACCUAGAGAAAUCUGGGCUAAUACCGCAUAAUACCUUCGGGUCAAAGGAGCAAUUCGCUUAAGGAGGGGGUCGCGGCCGAUUAGUUAGUUGGCGGGGUAAUGGCCCACCAAGACUGUGAUCGGUAUCCGGCCUGAGAGGGCGCACGGACACACUGGAACUGAAACACGGUCCAGACUCCUACGGGAGGCAGCAGUGGGAAUUUUGCGCAAUGGGGGAAACCCUGACGCAGCAACGCCGCGUGGAGGAUGAAGCCCCUUGGGGCGUAAACUCCUUUCGAUCGGGAAGAUAAUGACGGUACCGAGAGAAGAGCCCCGGCUAACUUCGCGCCAGCAGCCGC
rnacentral:rRNA from 1 species